rnacentral:rRNA from 1 species
GACGAACGCUGGCGGCGUGCUUAACACAUGCAAGUCGAACGGAAAGGCCCAGCUUGCUGGGUACUCGAGUGGCGAACGGGUGAGUAACACGUGGGUGAUCUGCCCCAAACUUCGGGAUAAGCCUGGGAAACUGGGUCUAAUACCGGAUAUGACCUGCUCCUGCAUGGGGGUUGGUGGAAAGCUUUUGCGGUUUGGGAUGGGCCCGCGGCCUAUCAGCUUGUUGGUGGGGUAAUGGCCUACCAAGGCGACGACGGGUAGCCGACCUGAGAGGGUGAUCGGCCACACUGGGACUGAGACACGGGCCCAGACUCCUACGGGAGGCAGCAGUGGGGAAUAUUGCACAAUGGGCGCAAGCCUGAUGCAGCGACGCCGCG